rnacentral:rRNA from 1 species
AGAAUGAACGUUGGCGGCGUGGAUUAGGCAUGCAAGUCGAACGCUUCAUGUAGCAAUACAUGAGGAGUGGCGUAAGGGAGAGUAAUACAUAGUUAGCUACCCUCGGGUCUGGGAUAGCGGCGGGAAACUGCCGGUAAUACCAGAUGAUAUCUUCGGAUCAAAGGUGUAAUUUCGCCCGAGGAGGUGACUGUGUCCUAUCAGCUUGUUGGCGGGUAACGCCACCAAGGCUAAGACGGGUAUGGGGCGUGAGAGCGUGCCCCCCAUCACUGGGACUGAGAUACUGCCCAGACACCUACGGGUGGCUGCCAGUCGAGAAUCUUCGGCAAUGGGCGCAAGCCUGACCGAGCGACGCCGCGUGCGGGAUGAAGGCCUUCGGGUUGUAAACCGCUGUCGUAGGGAGAAGCAACCGUGUAGAACGGAGUUGACGAUCUAGGAGAAGGCCGCUAAUCUGUGCCAGCAGCCG